AGCAGUCGCCGCGGGAAUACGGAGGGUGCAAGCGUUAUCCGGAUUUAUUGGGUUUAAAGGGUCCGUAGGCGGAUCUGUAAGUCAGUGGUGAAAUCUCACAGCUUAACUGUGAAACUGCCAUUGAUACUGCAGGUCUUGAGUAAAUUUGAAGUGGCUGGAAUAAGUAGUGUAGCGGUGAAAUGCAUAGAUAUUACUUAGAACACCAAUUGCGAAGGCAGGUCACUAAGAUUUAACUGACGCUGAUGGACGAAAGCGUGGGGAGCGAACAGGAUUAGAUACCCCGUGUAGUCCCUGUCUCUUAUA
rnacentral:rRNA from 1 species